rnacentral:rRNA from 1 species
AUGGCGGCGACGAUCCAGUCCGUGAAGGCCCGCCAGAUCUUCGACAGCCGCGGCAACCCCACCGUCGAGGUUGAUGUGUGCUGCUCAGAUGGAACCUUCGCCAGGGCCGCCGUUCCCAGCGGUGCAUCAACUGGUGUCUAUGAAGCUUUGGAGCUGAGGGACGGUGGAUCUGACUACUUGGGCAAGGGUGUUUCCAAGGCUGUUAACAAUGUGAACUCCAUUAUUGCACCCGCUUUGGUCGGCAAGGACCCUACCGCUCAAACUGAGCUCGACAACUUUAUGGUUCAGCAGCUUGAUGGAACCAAGAAUGAGUGGGGUUGGUGCAAGCAAAAGCUUGGUGCUAAUGCAAUCCUGGCUGUAUCACUAGCUGUUUGCAAAGCUGGAGCCAGCGUCAAGAAGAUUCCACUGUACCAGCACAUUGCCAACCUUGCUGGCAACAAGCAAUUGGUUUUGCCCGUUCCUGCGUUCAAUGUCAUCAAUGGUGGAUCCCAUGCUGGAAACAAGCUUGCUAUGCAGGAGUUCAUGAUCCUUCCUACUGGAGCUACCUCAUUCAAGGAGGCAAUGAAGAUGGGCGUUGAAGUGUACCACAACUUGAAGUCUGUUAUCAAGAAGAAGUACGGGCAGGAUGCCACCAAUGUCGGAGAUGAAGGUGGUUUUGCUCCUAACAUUCAGGAGAACAAGGAGGGCCUUGAGCUCUUGAAGACUGCAAUUGAAAAGGCUGGAUACACCGGCAAGGUUGUCAUUGGAAUGGAUGUUGCUGCUUCAGAGUUCUACAAUGACAAGGACAAAACCUAUGACCUCAACUUCAAGGAAGAGAACAACGAUGGUUCCCAGAAGAUAUCUGGAGAUAGCCUGAAGAACGUAUACAAGUCAUUCGUGAGCGAGUACCCCAUUGUGUCGAUUGAGGACCCGUUUGACCAGGAUGACUGGGUGCACUAUGCUAAGAUGACUGAAGAAUGUGGAGUGGAAGUUCAGAUUGUUGGUGAUGACCUUCUAGUCACCAACCCAACUAGAGUUGCAAAGGCAAUCCAGGAGAAGUCAUGCAAUGCUCUUCUGCUCAAGGUUAACCAAAUUGGAUCCGUCACUGAGAGUAUCGAGGCCGUGAAGAUGUCAAAACAUGCCGGCUGGGGUGUGAUGACCAGUCACAGGAGUGGUGAGACCGAGGACACAUUCAUUGCUGAUUUGGCUGUUGGUCUGUCCACGGGUCAGAUUAAGACCGGGGCUCCGUGCCGCUCAGAGCGUCUUGCCAAGUACAACCAGCUUCUGAGGAUCGAGGAGGAGCUGGGCGAUGCCGCGGUGUACGCUGGCCUCAAGUUCCGUGCACCGGUGGAGCCCUACUAG